rnacentral:tRNA from 1 species
GCCCUCGUAGGCUAACGGAUAAACCACAGGGCUUCUAUCCCUGUUUUGGAGGUUCGAAUCCUCCCGAGGGCG